GUAAACGGCGGCCGUAACUAUAACGGUCCUAAGGUAGCGAAAUUCCUUGUCGGGUAAGUUCCGACCUGCACGAAUGGCGUAAUGAUGGCCAGGCUGUCUCCACCCGAGACUCAGUGAAAUUGAACUCGCUGUGAAGAUGCAGUGUACCCGCGGCAAGACGGAAAGACCCCGUGAACCUUUACUAUAGCUUGACACUGAACAUUGAGCCUUGAUGUGUAGGAUAGGUGGGAGGCUUUGAAGUGUGGACGCCAGUCUGCAUGGAGCCGACCUUGAAAUACCACCCUUUAAUGUUUGAUGUUCUAACGUGGACCCGUGAUCCGGGUUGCGGACAGUGUCUGGUGGGUAGUUUGACUGGGGCGGUCUCCUCCUAAAGAGUAACGGAGGAGCACGAAGGUUGGCUAAUCCUGGUCGGACAUCAGGAGGUUAGUGCAAUGGCAUAAGCCAGCUUGACUGCGAGCGUGACGGCGCGAGCAGGUGCGAAAGCAGGUCAUAGUGAUCCGGUGGUUCUGAAUGGAAGGGCCAUCGCUCAACGGAUAAAAGGUACUCCGGGGAUAACAGGCUGAUACCGCCCAAGAGUUCAUAUCGACGGCGGUGUUUGGCACCUCGAUGUCGGCUCAUCACAUCCUGGGGCUGAAGUAGGUCCCAAGGGUAUGGCUGUUCGCCAUUUAAAGUGGUACGCGAGCUGGGUUUAGAACGUCGUGAGACAGUUCGGUCCCUAUCUGCCGUGGGCGCUGGAGAACUGAGGGGGGCUGCUCCUAGUACGAGAGGACCGGAGUGGACGCAUCACUGGUGUUCGGGUUGUCAUGCCAAUGGCACUGCCCGGUAGCUAAAUGCGGAAGAGAUAAGUGCUGAAAGCAUCUAAGCACGAAACUUGCCCCGAGAUGAGUUCUCCCUGACCCUUUAAGGGUCCUGAAGGAACGUUGAAGACGACGACGUUGAUAGGCCGGGUGUGUAAGCGCAGCGAUGCGUUGAGCUAACCGGUACUAAUGAACCGUGAGGCUUAACCUUACAACGCCGAAGGUGUUU
rnacentral:rRNA from 1 species